AGCUGAGACAAGCAUGUCCCAGUAUAGACUGUGCAAGUGUCCUGUUCACGUGGCAUUCUUCCCAAAUUGACCAAUUGCCUGUCCCCCGACCUCUCCAAGGGUGGAGUGGGUGAAUGGGUGAAGAGAUGAGGGUGAAGAGACGCUCGGAGGUGAGAACUGUUAUCACUCAUGUUGCAUGGAUGAAGCAACUGAAGCUCACAGAGUCCAGGAACUUGCCCAAGAUCACACAAUGAGGAAUGAAGCCAGGAUUUGGACCUGGGCCGUCCAACUCAAGAGCUCGCAGCUCCCUCCCAGUGCCCUCCUGCUGAUGUCCCUACGCAGCCCGGGCUGGAGGAAAGAUGGAAGGAAAUUGACAUUUGCAGUGCUUCCCCAUUCCUGCUCUUCUGCACUGCUCAGAGUGGCCUUGUGAGGCUGGGGUCAGGAUCCCCCCACGUUACAGGUGAAGAAUCUGAGUGAGGUUCAGAGAAAUGAAGUGAUUUGACCACGCUGGAGAGGGUGAAGCGGAGAGAGGAGGAGCUGCAGGGUCGGCCGCCUGUCAAAAUUCAGACCUCCGUCUUCCUGACCAAGGGGGAAGGAGCCGUUCCUUGUUUCUGAUCCAUGCACACACUCUACGAAGCACCUGAGAUAUUUUAUUGCACACUGUUGCUUAAUAAAUAUGUGUUCUCUCACUGGGAGUCCUUGGAUGACCUUUGAAACUCCAAUUUCAAUAAUUAUGUGUUGAACAAAC
rnacentral:lncRNA from 1 species